AGAGUUUGAUCAUGGCUCAGGAUGAACGCUGGCGGCGUGCCUAAUACAUGCAAGUCGAGCGAGAAGCUACUUUGACGCGUUUUCGGACAAGUCUGUGUAGUGGAAAGCGGCGGACGGGUGAGUAACGCGUAGGCAACCUGCCCUUAGCAGAGGGAUAGCCAUUGGAAACGAUGAUUAAAACCUCAUAAUGCCGGAGAGUCACAUGUCUUUUCGGCCAAAGAUUUAUCGGCUAAGGAUGGGCCUGCGUCUGAUUAACUAGUUGGCGGGGUAACGGCCCACCAAGGUGACGAUCAGUAGCCGACCUGAGAGGGUGAUCGGCCACAUUGGAACUGUGACACGGUCCAAACUUCUACGGAAGGCAGCAGUAAGGAAUCUUGCACAAUGGGGGAAACCCUGAUGCAGCAACGCCGCGUGAGUGAUGACGGCCUUCGGGUUGUAAAGCUCUGAUCUUGGGGAAGAAGAAGUGACGGUACCCAAGGAGAAAGCCCCGGCUAAAUACGUGCCAGCAGCCGCGGUAAUACGUAUGGGGCAAGCGUUAUCCGGAAUUAUUGGGCGUAAAGAGUGCGUAGGUGGUUACCUAAGCGCAAGGUUUAAUCUUGAGGCUCAACCUCAUUCUGCCUUGCGAACUGGGCUACUUGAGUGCUGGAGGGGAAAGCGGAAUUCCCAGUGUAGCGGUGAAAUGCGUAGAUAUUGGGAAGAACACCGGAGGCGAAGGCGGCUUUCUGGACAGUAACUGACACUGAGGGCACGAAAGCGUGGGGAGCAAACAGGAUUAGAUACCCUGGUAGUCCACGCCGUAAACGAUGAGCACUAGUUGUUGGUCCCGAAUGGGGUCAGUGACGCAGUUAACGCAAUAAGUGCUCCGCCUGGGGAGUACGGUGGCAACACUAAAACUCAAAGGAAUUGACGGGGACCCGCACAAGCAGCGGAGCAUGUGGUUUAAUUCGAAGCAACGCGAAAAACCUUACCAGGUCUUGACAUCCCUCUGAAACUCCUGAUAACGAAGGAGCCUCUUCGGACAGAGGUGACAGGUGGUGCAUGGUUGUCGUCAGCUCGUGUCGUGAGAUGUUGGGUUAAGUCCCGCAACGAGCGCAACCCUUGUCGUCAGUUACUAACAUUUAGUUGAGGACUCUGAUGAGACUGCCGGGGUCAACCCGGAGGAAGGUGGGGAUGACGUCAAAUCAUCAUGCCCCUUAUGAUCUGGGCUACACACGUGCUACAAUGGCCGGUACAAUGAGAAGCAAGAUGGCGACAUGGAGCAAAUCACCAAAACCGGUCCCAGUUCGGAUUGCAGGCUGAAACCCGCCUGCAUGAAGUCGGAGUUGCUAGUAAUCGCGAAUCAGCAUGUCGCGGUGAAUGCGUUUCCGGGUCUUGUACACACCGCCCGUCACACCAUGGAAGUUGGGGGCGCCCAAAGUUGGCUAAUUAAUCUGCUACCUAAGGCGAAACCAAUGACUGGGGUGAAGUCGUAACAAGGUAGCCGUA
rnacentral:rRNA from 1 species